CGGCGCCCUCGGCGAGCACGCGGCCCCGGUCCUCCGCGGCCGGCGUGCGGCACAGCACGCCGCCGGGGUGCGGGUCCCCGAGCACCGUC
rnacentral:tRNA from 1 species